UACGAAGGGGGCUAGCGUUGUUCGGAAUCACUGGGCGUAAAGCGUAUGUAGGCGGAUCGUUAAGUCGGGGGUGAAAUCCCGAGGCUCAACCUCGGAACUGCCUUCGAUACUGGCGAUCUUCGAGUCCGGGAGAGGUGAGUGGAACUCCGAGUGUAGAGGUGAAAUUCGUAGAUAUUCGGAAGAACACCAGUGGCGAAGGCGGCUCACUGGCCCGGUACUGACGCUGAUAUACG
rnacentral:rRNA from 1 species